UACGUAGGGUGCGAGCGUUACUCGGAAUUACUGGGCGUAAAGGGUGCGCAGGCGGCUUGCUAAGCCAGGUGUGAAAGCCCCGAGCUUAACUUGGGAAUUGCGCUCGAAACUACUUGGCUCGAGUGUGGCAGAGGAAGGUGGAAUUCCACGUGUAGCGGUGAAAUGCGUAGAGAUGUGGAGGAACACCGAUGGCGAAGGCAGCCUUCUGGGCCAACACUGACGCUCAUGCACGAAAGCGUGGGGAGCAAACAGG
rnacentral:rRNA from 1 species